rnacentral:rRNA from 1 species
GAUUGUAGUCUGCAACCCGACUACAUGAAGCCGGAAUCGCUAGUAAUCGCGGAUCAGAAUGCCGCGGUGAAUACGUUCCCGGGUCUUGUACACACCGCCCGUCACACCAUGGGAGUCGGAAAUGCCCGAAGUCAGUGGCCCAACCGGAAGGAGGGAGCUGCCGAAGGCAGGUUCGAUGACUGGGGUGAAGUCGUAACAAGGUACC